UACGGGGGGAGCAAGCGUUGUUCGGAUUUACUGGGCGUAAAGGGUGCGUAGGCGGGUCUUUUAAGUCAGGGGUGAAAUCCUGGAGCUCAACUCCAGAACUGCCUUUGAUACUGAGGAUCUUGAGUUCGGGAGAGGUGAGUGGAACUGCGAGUGUAGAGGUGAAAUUCGUAGAUAUUCGCAAGAACACCAGUGGCGAAGGCGACUACCUGGCCUGUUCUUGACGCUGAGGCGCGAAAGCUGGGGGAGCAAACGGGG
rnacentral:rRNA from 1 species